AGCCAGACUCCUACGGGAGGCAGCAGUGGGGGAUAUUGCACAAUGGGGGAAACCCUGAUGCAGCGACGCCGCGUGUGGGAAGACGGUCCUCUGGAUUGUAAACCACUGUCCCCAGGGACGAAGAUGACGGUACCUGGGGAGGAAGCUCCGGCUAACUACGUGCCAGCAGCCGCGGUAAUACGUAGGGAGCGAGCGUUGUCCGGAAUUACUGGGUGUAAAGGGAGCGUAGGCGGGCGAGAAAGUUGAAUGUUAAAUCUACCGGCUUAACUGGUAGCUGCGUUCAAAACUUCUUGUCUUGAGUGAAGUAGAGGCAGGCGGAAUUCCUAGUGUAGCGGUGAAAUGCGUAGAUAUUAGGAGGAACACCAGUGGCGAAGGCGGCCUGCUGGGCUUUAACUGACGCUGAGGCUCGAAAGCGUGGGGAGCAAACAGGAUUAGAUACCCCGGUA
rnacentral:rRNA from 1 species